rnacentral:rRNA from 1 species
GGGAACGUGCCCUUCGGUUCGGAAUAACUCAGGGAAACUUGAGCUAAUACCGGAUACGCCCUUAUGGGGAAAGGUUUACUGCCGAAGGAUCGGCCCGCGUCUGAUUAGCUAGUUGGUGAGGUUACGGCUCACCAAGGCGACGAUCAGUAGCUGGUCUGAGAGGAUGAUCAGCCACACUGGGACUGAGACACGGCCCAGACUCCUACGGGAGGCAGCAGUGGGGAAUAUUGGACAAUGGGGGCAACCCUGAUCCAGCCAUGCCGCGUGAGUGAUGACGGCCUUAGGGUUGUAAAGCUCUUUUCUCCGGGACGAUAAUGACGGUACCGGAGGAAUAAGCCCCGGCUAACUUCGUGCCAGCAGCCGCGGUAAUACGAAGGGGGCUAGCGUUGCUCGGAAUCACUGGGCGUAAAGGGCGCGUAGGCGGCUGAUUUAGUCGAGGGUGAAAGCCCGUGGCUCAACCACGGAAUGGCCUUCGAUACUGGUUGGCUUGAGACCGGAAGAGGACAGCGGAACUGCGAGU